GAAGCAUGCUCAAAUCCGCUUGUCACACGACAAGUUCCAGGGGAAGCCGGUCGAAAUCCGGCGCUGACCCGCAACCGUGGGCCCGGUUCCGCCGGGCGAGCCGGAAUGCCUGGAGCGUGUUCUUCAG
rnacentral:ncRNA from 1 species